rnacentral:rRNA from 1 species
AGAGUUUGAUCCUGGCUCAGGACGAACGCUGGCGGCGUGCUUAACACAUGCAAGUCGAACGCGAACAGGGCUUCGGCCCUUAGUAGAGUGGCGAACGGGUGCGUAACACGUGGGUAAUCAACCUCAUGGCGGGGGACAACCUUCCGAAAGGAUGGCUAAUACCGCAUAAGUCGUCGGGAUCCAUGAUUCUGACGGGAAAGGGGGGUCGCAAGAUCUCUCACCAUGAGACGAGCCCGCGUCCCAUCAUGCUAGUUGGUGAGGUAAUGGCUCACCAAGGCUUAGACGGGUAGCUGGUCUGAGAGGAUGAUCAGCCACACUGGAACUGCGACACGGUCCAGACUCCUACGGGAGGCAGCAGUGAGGAAUAUUGGGCAAUGGGGGCAACCCUGACCCAGCAAUGCCGCGUGCGGGAGGACGCCCUUCGGGGUGUAAACCGCUUUUGUGAGGGAGGAGCAAGGACCGUACCUCACGAAGAAGUCACGGCUAACUACGUGCCAGCAGCCGCGGUAAUACGUAGGUGGCGAACGUUAUCCGGAGUUACUGGGCGUAAAGGGUCCGCAGGCGGGUCUGCAAGUCCGGCGUGAAAUCUUCUGGCUUAACUAGAAGAGGUCGUUGGAAACUGCAGGUCUAGCAUCCCGCAGAGGUCGGUGGAAUUCCCGGUGUAGUGGUGGAAUGCGUAGAGAUCGGGAGGAACCUCGAAAGCGAAGGCAGCCGGCUGGGCGCGGAUGGACGCUGAGGGACGAAAGCGUGGGGAGCGAACAGGAUUAGAUACCCCCGUAGUCC